GACAGUAAGAGGAGUUGAGCAACCACCAAAAAAAAUCCAGAGUGGGUCCAGAACCAAGGGCAUCCUGAGGCUUAAGGUGCAUCACGGCUGCCACUUCUAACAGAUGCUCAGGGAAAGACAUGGAGUGAGGACAGCAGGACACCCUGUGAAGCAACCACAGAAGAUGGCAGUAGCUGCAGUGCCUGGUGUCUCGUGCAGGAGUCUCACACAAAGCCAAGAACUGUGAGGCUUCAAAUUUUCAUUGUCUCUAGCCAAGAGAGAAUGUAAAAUGGCUUCAUCAGGUGCAGCAAAGAAGCACUUCAGAAUCCACCCAUAACUCAACAGACACAAAGUAAAUGUAUUCAAUAAAUAUUUUAUUUUGAC
rnacentral:lncRNA from 1 species